AGUUAAUUAUUCAUAAACCUAUUGAAUUUUAUAAUUUUUAUAUGAAUGUGACAUUUCUUGGACCAUUAUCCGUGCAAAUCGAUUAACCGGCAUUCGUCCGGUCCCGAGCUGCCCGGAUAAUCGACGUUCUACUGUCGUUAGUCGUUCUACUGUAGAUUAUACAGCGUAAACUUUUUGGAGUUUACGCCUCGUGUGACGUCCGUAUUAACUUUCAGCCAGCGAAUUCUAUUUCGUUUGCCUGCAGCAGGUGUAGUUCCAGCUAAACGGAAGCAAAGCAGACAUAUACUUCCUCUCGCGAGAACCACACCACAAGAUCAUCAUAUCACCCUCUCAUGGUUCGGCGAAACAUCGCAGAACAAUUUUAUGCUGAGCUAGCAUACUGUCGAACGACGAGAACCACACCACAAGAUCAUCAUAGCACCCUCGCAUGGUUCGGCGAAACAUCGCAGAACACAUUUUAUGCUGAGCUAGCAUAAAAUGUGCCAUGCCCGAUGGAACAGCGAUCACCAGCAUCUACCCGAAGACAACCGUCGUGGAGCUUCGGCCCGAAGACAACCGUCGUGGAACAUCCGCCCGAAGACAACCGUCAUAGAACAUCCGUCCGAAGAUGACAUCGUGAAACACCGGCGCAAUAGGCUUAGGCUCGAGCUAGUUAGGACUAGGGAGUUUAAGUCAGUUCAGAAUUGUAACUCACCAGCGAUAGACGCAUUAGGUUGAUUAAGAAAAAUAAAUGUUUUUUUUUAUAAGACUUAAUAUGUCCCUCGCAUAACUAUAUAUUGUUACACAACAAGCAAUAAAAUUUAACUACAAUACAACUUUUGAUAGAAAAGAAAAAGACAUAAGCAUCCACUCAAAACAUGCGGUAAGGCCGGUUGGGGUGUUGGAGUUACAGCACAUUUUUGAUUGAAAAAAAUAUUGAUAGGAGUUUUAAAACUCUAAAUUUACUACGAUAUUUUAAUCAACAUUAUUAUGAUCAUAUGAGACAGAUUUCAUUCAAAUUUAACUAGUAAUUCAAAAGAUAUACGCUUUCAACCACGAAUACCAUCAUUCUUCCAUAAAAAAUGUAUGGGCACCAGGGUAGGCCGUUGUACAUAUGAAGGGUAUAUAAACUAAAAUAAUUUUUAGAAAUAUUUAAACAUUUUUCAUAUUUUUCUUAUUUUUUGGACAAAGUUAAAAAAAAAUUCUGAGGUAUUUUUGAAUUUGAAGUCCGACUUGAAGUACGAGUGUCCGAGUGUGAAGUACGACUUCUUAAUCCAAAGUUAUUUUGUAAUAAAAAUGCGAAACUUAUCCGAGGAGGCGGUCCGACGGUCAAACAUGAUGGCUAAAAAAUGUGUAUAAAAAAAAUUGGACGAUGUAACGUAAAACAUA